GGGCUUGUGACUCAGUGGUAGAGCACUUGCUUAACAUGUAUGAGGCACUGGGUUCAAAUCUCAGCACCA
rfam:Ictidomys tridecemlineatus contig031774, whole genome shotgun sequence.